GGCAGAGUGCCUGAACUAAAGGAUUACUUUGAUAGAGUAAAUCAUGAAUGUUAUAAUCACUCCCCUUCCU
rnacentral:tRNA from 1 species